GUGAGAUCGGGACCUUUUGCAGCAUUAUCAAGAAGUUGAUAGGUAUCAGUCGAGUGAGCAUCUCCGACACGGCAACAACUCUAGUGCACUUUUUGCCAUCAGCUAUCUGCCAUCAUUUGUUCUCAAUCAUGGUUGUAUUUAAGGACAAAGAAAAGGCGAAAGAAAUCAGUCGAGUGAGCAUCUCCGAUAUGCACGAGCUGUAGUGCGCCACUCGUCACCAACUGCAUUCUUCGUCGGAAUUGCUAGUUUUAAAUCAUGGUAAACUUUGGCGUCGUGCUGCUGUUGAGUGUUGUAUAGCUGACCGCUGGUUCAGCCAUGGUGUACCAAUGUCUCCUGGGUAUGGCGGAUAACAAAUCGCAACGCCACCACCUUACUACACAACAUACGACACGACCAGUUUCUACACCAAGGCCCCCAAGUACUACACCACCAAAGCUCGAUAUUAUUAUACCACAACUUAUGCCGCCCUGAGCUACUAAACCGAAGCCCCGAAGUAUUAUUUUUCCCCGAGCUACACUACCAGAGGUUUGAGUACUACACCGAUGCUCCGAAGUACUACACCACCAAGGCACCGGAGUGCUACACCACUACAUAUCAUGGUCGUAUGACAGGAGAGAAAAGGUGAAAGAAUUCAGCAGCCUAGUGAGCAUCUCCGCUACAGCAACAGGAACUGCCGUGCACUAGUUGUCAUCAACUUCAUUCUUCGUCGCAUUAAAAGUUUUAAAUAAAGUUAUAACUAUGGCGUCGUGCUGCUGUUGGGUGUCGUAUCGUUUAUUGCUGGGUCGACCACUGGUGUACCGAUGUCUCCUGGGUAUGGCGGGAACCAAAGCACACUACUGCCGUGCCGUCUUACUAUUUAGCAUCAACUUCCGCUGCUCCAGCUUACUACACUGAGGUUUACAAGUGCUACACCACCAUGGAUCCAGAGUAUUACACCACAGCUCAUGUUGCCCCGACCUACUACGCUGAAUGCCCGAAGUAUUUUUCUUCCCCGAGCUACACUACCAAAGGGUCGAGAACUACGUCGAGGUUCCAAGUACUACAUCACCAAGGCACCGGAGCACAAAAACGGUUGAAUACUACACAGAAGCUAUCAUGGGAAACUAUGGUGUCGUGCUGCUGUGAGUGUUGUAAUCAUGAUGGCUGGAUUGACCACUGGUGUGCCGAUAUCUCCUGGGUAUGGUGGGCAUCAACAACAACAUACGCAACAACCGCUUACUACACUGGGACCUGCAAGUGCCAAACCGCCAAGGCUUCAGAGUAUUACACCACAGUUUAUGUUGGCACGAGCUACUACGCAGAAGCUCCGGAAUAAUUUUCUUCCCCGCUUCACUACCUUCACCCCGCUUCACUACCUUCACCACGCCGCCUCUUUACUAAACAACAACAACAACGUCGUCAACACCUACUUACUAAACGAACGCCUCCAAGUACUACGCCAUAAAGGCUUCGACUACCACACCGAGGGUCAACUUGUUACACCGCCGAAGCGCUCAAGUACUGCACUACAACCUACAUUUCACGAAGACACCGUAGUACUCCAUCACGAAGGCACCGGCACGUUAAACCGAGGCUCCAGUUUACUACACUGUAACCUACGCUGCUCCAAAGUACUACACCGACAAGGCAUCCGAGUAUGACACCACUACUUACGCUACUACCACCUACUACACCCAAGCUCCGAAAGCACUACUCUGCCCCGAGUUACUACACCACUAAGGCAGCCGAAUUUUACACCACAAACUACGAUUCCGCAAUUCGGUCACUUUCAUGGUCAUUGGUCACUGGAAAUUAAUUGUUGAUCUUUGAUGAGAAAAUAAUGUUUUAAUGCUGGUAGUUCUUUUGGAAGACUUUUGGUAGUAGCUUCAAGCCUGUCAACAUUGCGACAGUUGUCUAUUGGUGUUGUAUUUCUUCAAGGCCAGUAUGCUAAGUUGUCAAUUGUUUGUCUAAUGUUUUAGAGGUUUCCACUGCCUUAGUCACUCUGUAUACGGACAUGUUCUUGUUAUUCGACGACGAUGAUGAUUCAAGGGUAAGUUACGAAAGAGACUUGUAACUGGUGAUUUUUCAAAUCUUAUAAAUAAUAGGCAAAUGGCUGACUUUUGUAUGAAUAAAGACUUUGAAGUUA